rnacentral:rRNA from 1 species
UGCAAGCUGCCGAAAAGCAGUCGCUUUCGAAGGUGGUGCACAGGUGGUGCAUGGCUGUCGUCAGCUCGUGUUGUGAAAUGUUGGGUUAAGUCCCGCAACGAGCGCAACCCUCAUGUUUUGUUACCAGCGGAUAAUGCCGGGGACUCGAAACAAACUGCCUCUGUAAAGAGGAGGAAGGCGGGGAUGACGUCAAGUCAGCAUGCCCCUUACGCCCUGGGCUGCACAUAUGCUACAAUGGCCGGCACAAAGGGUUGCCAACUCGCGAGAGUGAGCUAAUCCCAAAAAACCGGUCUCAGUUCGGAUCGGAGUCUGCAACUCGACUCCGUGAAGUUGGAAUCGCUAGUAACCGCCGGUCAGCAACACGGCGGUGAAUACGUUCCCGGUCCUUGCACACACCGCCCGUCACGCCACGAAAGUCUGUCUCACCCGAAGUCGCUGCGCUAACCGCAAGGAAGCAGGCGCCGAAGGUAGGGCCGAUGAUUGGGACGAAGUCGUAACAAGGUAACC